AGCAGCCGCGGUAAUUCCAGCUCCAAUAGCGUAUAUUAAAGUUGUUGCAGUUAAAAGCUCGUAGUUGAAUUUCGGGGUCAGUAGGUUGGUCGUGCCACCGGUACGUACUGGUCUCACUGAUUCUUCCUUCCUGAAGAACCGUAAUGCCAUUAAUUUGGUGUUGCGGGGAAGCAGGACUGUUACUUUGAAAAAAUUAGAGUGUUUAAAGCAGGCUAACGCUUGAAUACAUUAGCAUGGAAUAAUGAAAUAGGACGAUCGAUCCUAUUUUGUUGGUUUCUAGGAUUGACGUAAUGAUUAAUAGGGAUAGUUGGGGGCAUUAGUAUUCAAUUGUCAGAGGUGAAAUUCUUGGAUUUAUUGAAGACUAACUACUGCGAAAGCAUUUGCCAAGGAUGUUUUCAUUAAUCAAGAACGAAAGUUAGGGGAUCGAAGACGAUCAGAUACCGUCGUAGUCUUAACCAUAAACUAUGCCGACUAGGGAUCGGAUGAUGUUAAUUUUAUAAUGACUCAUUCGGCGCCUUAC
rnacentral:rRNA from 1 species